UUUCAACGCUGUUUCAUCAUCCAUUGGCAGAAUGGUUUGUACAGAACCUUUCCCAAAUGUUUUUUCUCCCAUAAUAAUUGCUCUUUUAUGAUCUUGCAAUGCACCGGCAACGAUCUCUGACGCAGAGGCUGAACCACCAUUAACAAGAACAAUAAUAGGAAUAUUUUUGACUAACUCAUUUGGUUUCGCGUUAAAUUUGAGUUUUGAGUCUUUUAUUCUGCCUUCGGUAUAAACAAUUAGCCCAUUAUUGAGAAAUAAAUCAGAGACCCCCACCGCAGCAUUGAGCAAACCACCAGGGUUAUUUCUU
rnacentral:ncRNA from 1 species